AUUUGUGGCGCUUGUCCGCGAGUUGCGGAAUGAAGCUGAGCGAUUCGGAAGCAGGGAUCUCAGGGCAAUCAUCGACACAGAAGUCUUCUGUGACCAAAGUGAAGACUGAAGCCCUAGGCUAUUGCAGAAGUUGGGUGCCUGAAGUACACGUGGAAAUAUGCCAACUGAACAUUGGACUACCACCGCCUGCCCCUGGCUCAGCGCCCGGUGCCAACAGAACACCUUUCAGGAUCCACAGCAACGCAGACAACGAGUCCAGAAUCCCGGCCUCUGCUUGAAACGGAACAGUGUCAUGGCGGAGACGACGGCCUUUGUCUUGCUGGGUGUGAAAACAUUCGCUGUGCUGGCUCCACUGCGGCAGAAUCAAGUUUAAAGGAAAAAAACACGCAGCAAGUGAAGCGACAAGAGGAAUCCAUUAUGCAAAUCAUGUCACUUUGCAUAAUGUCUCAUGACUGGAAUAUGCAAAUGAACUGUAUAAUUUAUGAGUGCCAAUGUCUGUCUAAAAGUGUUUCACAUAAUUUACAAAGUGAGCCUGAGAGGCAUGAGGAAGGCAGCUCUUCCGAUUCCAUUGCCAGGAAAGCUCUGUAUAUUUUUCUGUAAGUGAUCCCUCGUAAUAUCAUCAAGUGCUAUUUAAAAUAAAUGAAGGUUUCAAAUGUACAUGAAAGGCAAAGAUUUUUCUCUCACUUCCUUCACCCAUUGAUUUUUUUUGUCUAACAUUUGCAAGAAACUUGGACUCGAAAGCCUUAAAUUUUGGAUUUAAUUUGGAAAAGAAAAGUUAUUUGAGCCAAACUUGCUCUUUGUAUAUGGGUUUCCUUUUCUAAAGCAAGGAAUGUCUUAGAGAAGCAGACACUAUCUAUUAACAUUUGCCUGAACCUAUAGAAAGCAGAAGAAUGGGAUUUCUUAAUUUGGUUGGUUUUAUGUGUGCCCUGUAACAUUUUAUAAAUAAUAGUCUCCCGGAUGUAUUAAAUAUUGUUAUGGAAGGCUCAUACAAUCAAUAUUCUUCUGAAGGUAUAAUUCUACUUUCAGAAUAGUCUUCACAGGAGAAAUUAUAUCCAGUAAAAAUCAGAUUUUAGUUAAGUGA